GAUGAACGCUAGCGGGAGGCUUAACACAUGCAAGUCGAGGGGUUUUGUGGCAAUACAUUAGACCGGCGCACGGGUGAGUAACGCGUAUGCAACCUGCCGUUAACCGGGGGAUAGCCCGUCGAAAGGCGGAUUAAUACCCCAUAAUAUUGGGAUUCUGCAUGGGAUUUCAAUUAAAGCUGAGGUGGUUAACGAUGGGCAUGCGUGACAUUAGCUAGUUGGUAGGGUAACGGCCUACCAAGGCUACGAUGUCUAGGGGUUCUGAGAGGAAGGUCCCCCACACUGGUACUGAGACACGGACCAGACUCCUACGGGAGGCAGCAGUGAGGAAUAUUGGUCAAUGGGCGAGAGCCUGAACCAGCCAUCCCGCGUGCAGGAAGACGGCCCUAUGGGUUGUAAACUGCUUUUGCGCAUGAAGAAUGUUACCGACGUGUCGGUAAGUGACGGUAAUGCGUGAAUAAGCACCGGCUAACUACGUGCCAGCAGCCGCCGCCGUAA
rnacentral:rRNA from 1 species